ensembl:lncRNA
CCCUCCCCAUAAUAAUUCCAUUUCCCUCCCCAUAAUAAUUCCAUUUCCCUCCCCAUAAUAAUUCCAUUUCCCUCCCCAUAUCCCAGCACAGCCCUCCCCAUAAUAAAAUGUCGCCCUCAAAAUCUUUCCCCACAAAAUUAUUUCGCCCUGCUGCCUGUUUUUCCCCCCCCCAUUUUUCCACCAAACCACAUCCCACAGCAACCUCUGCCUUCCUCCCCUCCCACCAUCCCAGUUCCCCCAGUCCCCAUCCCACUGGGAAUCGGCCCUCCUGGCGUGACAGCACACUGGGGGGGUGGCCACAUCCCACUAACCGGGGGUCCCCCAUCCUCUCCCCCAAAAAGAAGCCGCCGCUCCCAGCGAGCACCCCCGAGGGCCGCAUCCUGCAAACCCCGACGCGGCUCAGGACCCGCGCGCGGCCUCCUCCCUUCCCCAAAUCGCCCCCUUUACACCCCGUUACCUGCAAUCUCUGCCCUUCGCUGGGGGAAACGUCCCCCCCAUCGACACCCCCCUGCUUUUUAGGGUGUUAUUGGGGUGCGCAGACCCCCCCCCCGACAGCGGGGCACAAUGGAGGCGAUGCCGGGCAUGGCUUUGCUCCGGAAGCCCAAGCCGGCAUCCGGCAGAAAGGAGACGCCAAGAACAAGCUCAGCUCUUACCCAGAGCCCUCUAGAGGUAACCCAAACCCGGCUCCCCCCCCCCAUCCCACUGUCCCCAAAUACCCGGGGGGGGGACACCCAGGGACGGCCACAGGUCCCGCUCCGUCACCUCCUUUCCCCAAGCAUCUCCAAAGGGUUUUUUGGGGGACCCCCAGCUCGUCGGCCCGGCCGAAAUCCCUCCUCCUGGGUCAUCGAGAAGAGGCAAGGCGUCGUGGCGAGAGGCGUUAUUCAACUCGUGCAAGAAGACCUGCGGGGCACGAGGGAAGGAAACCUCGCGCCACCUCGUCCCGUGACUUUGCCCACGGCUGCCCGCAGCUCCGAGGUGCCGAUGAAGGACCCGCGGCGCUGCUUCCUCCAGCGGUCUGCCUCGCUCACCAGCCCCUUGCAGAGGAUGCCCAUGGAGGAUUUCAUCAACCUCUUCGCCCUGACCGACAUGCGCCCGGCUACCGGUGGCGUGCGGCUGGCCAGCCUGGAGACGCACCUCUUGCUGGAUUUCUUCUUCAACCGGGAAUUGAAUCCCUUGGGAACUGGUUUCCAGCGCCUCGACCUUCUCUGGUUAAGGGGAGGCUUUGUCUGCUGGGUUUCCUGCUUCCUCCUCCUCCUCUUUCUUGGAGGCUGCCCUCGUUUCUUGGUGGCCGCCGCCAUGGGGUCGCCUUUGGCCUCGGUGGUCCUCGCUGCAGGGGUGUCCCAGAGCUUUUUUAGGGGUGGGCAUAGGCAAAUGAGGGCUCGACACCGCAGCCCGGGGUUGGCUGGGUGAGACAGGGCUCCUGUGACAUUAUGCGUAAUUUGCAUAAAGAGCUGAGCCAGGAAAACCCGCAAUUAGGGCAAAGAAAAUACAGAAAUGUAUAAAAACACACACAUAUAUCUAAAAUACAUAUAAUAUAUAUGCAUUUACACGGCUUAAUCUCAAGAAAAGCCCCAAAAAACCUCCCCUCCAGACCCGCUUGCUCUUUUUGAAAGUUAAUUCUUGAGGAUGAGGAGGGGGAGGAAGGCUCACGCAGGUGUCAGGAUGGCCGAGUGGUCUAAGGCGCCAGACUCAAGGCUCUGCUUUCCCUCCCUGGGGUUUUCUGGUCUCCGAAUGGAGGCGUGGGUUCAAAUCCCACUUCUGACACACCUUUUCCCUUUGCGAUCUUAAUAAUUUUCGAGAGCUCCUGCACGCGAUUUGGGGAAAAAAAGGGCGGUUUUCCCCCCCUUUUUUUUUAUUUUUUUAUUUUUUCCGGCGCUAAAACUUGCUCCUGUUCCCGUUUCCCCGCCCAGCCCUUUGCACCCGCGCGUGGGCAGAAAGCACGGGUGGGUUACGACGAGAAAACGGGGUGGGGACACGCUGCUUUUGGGGGGGUCCCGGCUGACGGGGGGGACAAACCGCCCCCCCCCCCCGUGGGCUGGGGUCCCCCCGCGACGGGGUCACGCGUGGGGCCGCGCCGGAAGGGUCUCACCAGCCCUUCCCUGGUGGUCUAGUGGUUAGGAUUCGGCGCUCUCACCGCCGCGGCCCGGGUUCGAUUCCCGGUCAGGGAAACUCAUUUUUUCCCCCCCCAACUCCAAAAGUUUUUUUAUUUUAUUUUUUAUAACAACCACAAUAGAUUUUUUUUUUAUUAUUAUUAAUCUUUUUUUUUUUUUUUCUCCUCAAAUUCAACCCUAGAAGCGCGCACUCACAUUUACCCUCUGAAAGCGGAUGCGUGGUCGGGCUGAUUUUUCUUUCGAAGAAUCACUGCUUUAAUAUCCUGACAAGGGCAGGGCUGGGCGAGCACCACCGCUAUCCUGGGGCAGUUUAGGGUGUUGUGACAUUUUUCCUGCACACAGCCAUUUAAAUCAUCAGGAAUUUAUAUAGACUCUGGUAUAUAUAAGCAUCGCCUUGCAGCAAUGAGGAUGGAAGCCCUGAGGUUUCUAACAUAACACCUACAGCUUCUCAUUAAUGAAAUUGUGAACCUCAUGAUUAAAAAAAAAACAACAAAAACAAACAAACAACUCUGACACCACCAAAUGCUGCUAAGUUUGUGCUUUAUUGCAAUGCCGAUUUUAAUACUUCCUUCCCUGCAAUCUCUCCACCAUACGCUGGUGGUCGCACAGGUCUUCCCAGCAGCUUUUCUGGUUUUUAAUCCCUCUCCUUUGCGCUUUGGAUCUUGCUCCCGAGGGGUUAAAGAAGGGAGGGUCUUGCUUUUAGUGCCCGCUUCGUGCGGCCACGCUGGUUGUCGCGUGCCUGAAUCGCUUCGGCAUCACGCGGCGGAGAGCGGCUUGGACGUGCGCGGGGCCGGCGAUGGGAUGGCGGCUCUCCCUCCGCAGCCGGUCGGCCUCCUUCGACACCUGCUUGUAGACGUCCUGCAGGAAGCGCACCAUGAGCCCCUUGGCCUCGGGGGACAGGAGCUUGCCGUCUCGCUUCAUCUGGUUGAGCGCCUUGGCACUGAUGAGGUCGAAGGAGCCUUUCAUGGCCACUUUCUUCUGUGGCUUUGUGGGUUUCCGCUUCGCCUUCCCAUGGGGCUUCCUGGGCUUGGAUGGAGGCCUUCUAGCGUGAUUCUUUUGCCUCCUCCUUUGCCGGGGUUGUCUCCUCCUUUGGGAUCUCUUUCUUCCCCCAGCAGACACCAUGGCUCAACCCUGCCCUGCCUGGAGCCCUCGAACCUGCAAAUACCUCUGCCCACCCCCUUUUAAGCAAAUUAGGGACAGGAUGGAGCCCCCCAUUGGCCAAGAGAACAAUGCCCCCAACACUUCACAAUAGAAUGAUGCAGGUCACUGCCCCCCCCGGGACCCCCAGGUAUAAUGGGACCCCAAAAGACCUCAAGACCCCCCGUGUCCCUCACCCCUUUGACCCCACCGUGAUAUUAAACCACAAUAGUAGUGCAAAUCGCAGCACAAAUCUUCCACUUAUCAAAAAUUAGCAUUUAUUUUUGGGGUGGGGGCAGGAAUACCAACCCCAUCCCCAAACGUUUGCUCCGUACGUGCAGCACAUGCCAUGGGAGAUUUCAGGGCGAGCAGGAAACGAAGGAAAAGAAAAUUCUUUGGAAGAACAUCUUUCCUUGGCUCAAACCGCCAGCAAAUCUGCCUGCCAGCUGGAAGGCGAUGACUAAUUACUUAAUGAGUCCACCCAGAUCCACCUAUGGUGGUUUCACAGCAAUGGCCAGCUAAGCUCCGGGGCUAGCCGAGCCUUACUAAAUCAGGGAGAUCACUCAAGUGAUUGCUGGCACGAGCAAAACAGACUCAGCAGAAAGCUGGUGAAUGGAAUUUAUUGCCCGCUAAUAACAGGUUGCAGCAGUGGGAACUCAAAGCAAACCAAAACCAAUUUCCGCCCCAUCCACCCUCUUCUACCUGCUCCCAAAACCUUGCCACUUAAGCCCAAUACAAUCCCCAGGUUUUUCCUCUCCAGCGCAGCUCCUUUUUCAUACCCGCAUGCAAAUGCACAUGCCCAUCACCUCUAUUUUCUUAGAUGCUCAAAUCCCCCUGCGUGCUAUGUCCUGCUCCAACUCCAAACUCUCCAAAACCUGAGUUUCUCUCUCAAAAAAACCAAGCCAAAACAAAACAAAACAAAAACAGCACUGUUAAAACCAUAAGGCAAUUAUUUAGAAGAAUAGAAUUAUUUCUUCACCCUACCCAAUGCUCUGGGUAUUUGAUGCUGCUUUAGCACCUGCAAAUUGCAUUUCAGCCCUGAAAAAAAAAAAGCCCUUAGAAUAUAUCCUAUUGUCCCAGUUCUGUUUGCUGACUCGGAGCAGUAACUCAAUAUAAAUUCUUGCUCGCGAGAAGCAGAAAUUAGUGUGAGAUAGAUGUCAGCAAAGAGCUGGAGGGGAAAAUAAAUGGGUGUAAAACACAAGUGGGCA